rnacentral:rRNA from 1 species
CGAACGGGUGAGUAAUACAUCGGAACGUGUCCUGUAGUGGGGGAUAGCCCGGCGAAAGCCGGAUUAAUACCGCAUACGAUCUACGGAAGAAAGCGGGGGAUCCUUCGGGACCUCGCGCUAUAGGGGCGGCCGAUGGCAGAUUAGCUAGUUGGUGGGGUAAAGGCCUACCAAGGCGACGAUCUGUAGCUGGUCUGAGAGGACGACCAGCCACACUGGGACUGAGACACGGCCCAGACWCCUACGGGAGGCAGCAGUGGGGAAUUUUGGACAAUGGGGGAAACCCWGAUCCAGCAAUGCCGCGUGUGUGAAGAAGGCCU